UCAUAGAGCAAGCUACAAUCAGAGCUUUUUAAUAUAAUCAAUGUCCCCCAAAUUCCUUUUUCUUUAGAUUAAAACACAGAGAAGGAAGAAUACUCAAGCCAGGGAGAAAAAUUCAGAUGAAAGACGAUGCAGUUAUGUUAGGCAGCACUACAUGAUAUUUCAAGUCCUUUUAUUGCCCUGGGUGCAAAUAUUGGAGCUUGUGGGAGAAAGAAAACUUACUCAACUGGAUUUAUAAAAGGAGAAAAAGAAAAGAUAUUCCUUGGCUACCACCAACAGAAAUUCCCUAGGUAGAUGAGUCAACUCAAUAUUUAAAGAAUUCCAUGUGCACUAGAGAAGCAAAAAGAAACGCAGCAAACCCACAUGUGGAGGCCAGGCAAAGGGGCUUGGGGGGGUAGUGCCUGCCAGAGGGGGGUCACCUCAGGAGUCUUCCCGGAAGCUGUAACUCAGGAAAUAUGGUUGGACAAAUUAUUAGUGUUGGCCUCAUCUUAUCCAUGAGAGCUCAGAAAUUCCCGCCCCGCUUGUCCGUGGCAGGCAUACACACCUCCGAGAUGAUUCUCAUUUCAUCCCCUCCCUCCUUUCACUGAGAGUCCCCUCAGCUCUAGUCUGAGAGGAGGCAGCCUCAGAACCGGGGGAUUUCCCAACCCCUUCCAGGCCUCUUCAAACAAAGUCUUCAACUGGCAACAGAGGUGUCAUCAUAGGGGAAGUUUCUGAUUGGCCAAAACCUGACCUGGCAGCUGGGCUUUGGGUGUCUUUAGAGUUCUUUCUCAGCUCCAUCCUCAUCAUUGCUCUACAACUCCGAAGAGCAACAGCUGAGACCACCUUGAGAAGAGCAUGGUCCCAGGCCGAGUUCUGAUGUGGGGGGCCCUCGCCCUGACCGCCGUGAUGAGCGCCUGUGGAGGUGAAGACAUUGCGGAGUUCGCCAAGGAUAUUAUUGUACUUCUGAUACUGGAGCCUGCGACGAUGUCCUGAGGGGGUUCUAGGGCAUUCAUCCAUGACCGCUCCAAAGAUUAGAAGUGUCUCCCAAGUCAAUGUGAUGUUGCCAAAACUUCAUGAACCAUUGCUCUCAAAUUUCUCUGAACAACUUUUGAAGCUUUUUAUAUAUUUUUUCUGCAGUUUUUCUUGAGGGAAAUAGUUCCAUGAAUUAUGUAUACUAUGUAGAUAUAAAGAAGGGUGUCCUUUUCUCAGUCUCAGCUGUUUCUUUGUUUGUUUGUUUGUCU
rnacentral:lncRNA from 1 species